rnacentral:rRNA from 1 species
AACGAACGCUGGCGGCAGGCUUAACACAUGCAAGUCGAGCGCAUCCUUCGGGGUGAGCGGCAGACGGGUGAGUAACACGUGGGAAUCUACCCAACCCUACGGAAUAGCUCCGGGAAACUGGAAUUAAUACCGUAUACGCCCUUAGGGGGAAAGAUUUAUCGGGGAUGGAAGAGCCCGCGUUGAAUUAGCUAGUUGGUGUGGUAAAGGCCUACCAAGGCGACGAUCCAUAGCUGGUCUGAGAGGAUGAUCAGCCACAUUGGGACUGAGACACGGCCCAAACUCCUACGGGAGGCAGCAGUGGGGAAUAUUGGACAAUGGGCGCAAGCCUGAUCCAGCCAUGCCGCGUGAGUGAUGAAGGCCUUAGGGCUGUAAAGCUCUUUCACCGGAGAAGAUAAUGACGGUAUCCGGAGAAGAAGCCCCGGCUAACUUCGUGCCAGCCGCCGCGGUAAUAC